GAUGAACGCUGGCGGCGUGCCUAAUACAUGCAAGUCGAACGCUGGAAAUCUAGCUUGCUAGAUUGAAGGAGUGGCGAACGGGUGAGUAAUACAUAAGCAACCUACCCACGAAGACUGGGAUAAUCUCUGGAAACGGGGACUAAUACCGGAUAGGUAAUCGGAAGGCAUCUUCUGAUUAUUAAAGGUUAAAAACACUGGUGGAUGGGCUUAUGGCGCAUUAGUUAGUUGGUGAGGUAACGGCCCACCAAGACGAUGAUGCGUAGCCGGCCUGAGAGGGUGAACGGCCACAUUGGGACUGAGACACGGCCCAGACUCCUACGGGAGGCAGCAGUAGGGAAUUUUCGGCAAUGGGGGAAACCCUGACCGAGCAACGCCGCGUGAGUGAUGACGGCCUUCGGGUUGUAAAGCUCUGUUGUAAGGGAAGACGCGGUAGAUAGAGAAUAUCUAAGUGACGGUAC
rnacentral:rRNA from 1 species